AUUCCAUUCCCAUUCCACGUCGGUGAAGUGCCCCUUUGUCCCGUCCAAACUAGGAUACUUUCGAGAGCGAAAGAGGGGCUGCUAAUCAAAAUGCGAGAUAACAGAUGUUAACAGAUGAAACAUGGGGACCUGAAACAGGUACCCUCUUCUUGGAGGAACCUCAUCGAAGGGCAGCAUCCUGGUCAACAGCACCUGCUUCCCCACAGCGCUCACUCACAUUUAUUUGCUGGAAGGAAGUAAAGAAGUGGAUUGAGCGGAAGUUGUGAGAAAUGGCGAGGGACGGACCAAUGCACAGCUUCUUCCACUUGUCACAGAAGGAAAGGCAUGAGAACAUUCGGCAGCCUGCUCAUGUUCUGCACAAUGGACUAGCAUCGAGAGGAUCCCUCAUAAAAGUUCUGUCGCUAUUGUUACAAUGCAGAGAAAGUGCCUCUGUGCCUGAAGAGAGUUGAGUUUUCCGUCAGCCAGUGUACUCCAUUCCGUAUUAUCUGCGUCAUUGACUUCCAAUUAGUGCACGAUUUUCACUUUGGUGCUGAUUGAAGUUUUGAGGGGAAUGUUAAACAUAAUUCUACACUUUCAGUUGCAAGAGUUUACUCCAACCCUGUGGUUUCACUGUAGAAUGCCCCGCUGACAUUAGGAGACAGGUCUGCUGAGGGGAAGACGAGGAAUGCAACACCAAUCCUUUCUGAGUGGGCAUCAAGACUUGAAAAAAGUCCUGAAGAAAAAAAUGGAGACCUCUUUAUGCAGUGCUGCAUCACCAGGGCUCUCUUCUUGAUGACCCAGAGGAUGAUCCUUUGUAGAAAACAUGGAGAUUGACAGCCUGAAGUCAAAAAAGUUAUUCAGAUGAGCACAUUCUGCAUGUGAAGAAAGUUUAAGAAGUCAUCUAAUCUGUUUCUAUUCUUAUUUCAUGGAUGCCCCCUUUAAAAGCCCCCAUCCUAAGGAAGACAUUUCCAGGCAGCCAAGUGAGGACCGGUAACAAAGACUUGGGCAUUGGAGAAGAGUCACUUCUGACUACAGAAUGCCCUGAUGGGAAUGGCAGUGGAGCCAGAUGGAAGAUGAUGGGCUGGUGAUCCCUGAUCUCAGUGUUAGCAAAUUGGCAGGGUGAAGCCUGAACCAGCUAUGGUCAUUUUUUCUACUGGAAGGAAGGCCAGCCUGGGAUGAAACCAACACAUCAAACAGGACACAGCCAAGGGAAUCUCAGAGAAUGAGCGGGGGACCCUGGAUGAGACAUUCAGACUCAGCAUUCCUGGUUCUCCAGCUUGCAUAAUCUCGCAGCCUCCAUAAUAAGUCCUGCGCUAAAACGAAGACACAAAAUCGGAACCAGAUACCAUCCUCAUCCUUGAUGGGCUGAGGGUAAGUGAAGAACAGAUGAGUUAUAACAGUUACACUUCAGGUGAAUGAGUGCUCCCAAAAGACAUAACUGGGAAGGAUGGUUCCUGUCACAGAUUUCUCCAUUAGCCAUGUCUCUCCCCCCAACUGCACCUUCAGGAAUAGCCCACGGCCUCAGGGAUCAACCUGUGUCAUCCCUCUGACCAGAAUGACUGGUCUAAGAAUAAACCUGUUACCCCAGCCGGGAAAACUAAAGCUGGUAGGGAAGACUUUUUUCCUCCCUGCUCACCAUCUAGGCCAGUGACAUCACUAUGGCAGGAAAGAAUGCUACCAACUCCCUGAGAGGAGCAAAGAUGAGACAGACGCGCAGCUUCCCAACAGCACUGAGGCCUGGGGCCAGCCCAGCUCUUUUCUGUGGCUUGACUAUUUGAUCCAGUAAACCCCUCCUCCUUUUAUUUCAUUUUGCUUGUGCCUUACUUGCUUUAUUUCAUUGAGCUAAUUUGAAUUGAGACUCUGUCCCUUGUCACCAAGAAAGUGUCAUUUACUCUAUAUAUCAAAAUAUGGGUGAGUAAAGGGGCGAGAGCAUACGGGCGGGUGGGUGCACCGAGCCCCGGCUAGACGCCUAAGAAAGGCUUCCUGGAGGAAGUGAUACCGUAACGGGAGAUGUAAUAAAUGACAGCUGGAUCCCCGAGCUGCUCUGCUCCAUUGUUUGAUUUCCCUUUAUAAAACACUUCUAUCUUUUUCUUUUCUCCUCCGAGAAAAAGUAGGAUUCAAAAAAAAAUUAAAAGUUGACGGGACCUUGUAGGGGUGGUGGGCAAGGGUCGUGGGAUGAGUGUCCAGCAUCGUUCUCUUUGUAGAUAGGAAUGAGCUGCCUAAGGAGCAGAAGCAUAAAAGGAGGAUGCCUCAGAGUUCAAGGUGAUGUAGGUUUUGCAUAGCCGGGGUGCUACUGACACCUCCACGGACAGCUGAGACAGCCGAAGACCUGAGCUUGUGCUGCCUUAGGCAGGGGGUUACCCCAUCAGUCCUACUGUAGUCACCAGCCCAAUCGAGCCCUUCGCUCCCAAGGACUAUGCUGCCUGCGCAUGUCCUCACUUCCCCCACCACCUGCCUCCAUCAUCCUCCUGGGGAAGAUAGAGAGGCUCUUCCUGAAUGUUACAGAGUCUCAGCUGCUGGACAAGGCAGGGAGGAUAUUUUACUGCAGGGAACCAGAAGCACCAAGACAUGGGACUGCAAAACAGCACCUUGAGCCCAGGGAACUCCAAGUAGCACCGCCACUAGGCUGGACAGUAAGUCUCUGGUAACCCAUGUGUACAUGAUCUUGAAAGGAUGUAUCAAGGGAAAGUGUUUUGCAGUUGUAAAGUGCUCCACAGACGCUAUUUUCUGUUAUGACGCAUAUCGUAGGGUUGCUGUGAGACCCAAAUGAGAUCACACGCCCAUAAAGUUGCUCUGGAGCCUGGAAAAGCACCACGCACGUGCUAAUUAACAGAGUUCGAGUUUGGCUGCAUUACGUCUCAGACCACAAAGGAAUAGUAAAAAUUGAAAUAACAGAGAAUUUCUCUCGAAUCCACAGUAUUAAAUGUCUUUGUAAACUGGGUGUUUUAAUUAAAAUACUUCCUAUCACCUCUUUACAGAUAAACGAAUGAUUUCAUUGUCUAUUAAAAAUAAUUUCCUGCUAACAAUUAAUUAGACCACCAGGCUUCAGGCUUCAAGCCUAAGAUUCGUUUUUGUUGAUUUACCACGUCACCAAAAAAGCUCAGUAGGGCAUCUAAAAUAUACAUGUAUGUAUGUAUGUGGGUAUGUGUGCACAUAUAUUUUUUUUUGUUUUCAAAUCUGUAUCCAUUAUCUUAGUUAAAGACAUCAUUACUUCACUCCUAAAGUGUCGUAAUGUUGUCCUUACUGCUCCCUCUGUCUCUAGCCUCUCACCUCUCUGCUCUCAAAUCCAUCAUUCCCACAGCUGCUCAGAAACUCAACAGCAUUUAAAUCAUUCCACCCAGCUUGGCUGUCAUGUGGCUUCUUUCAUUGUGAAAAGACAUAAAAUAGAAAUAAAAAAAUAUAUAAGAAAAGAAAAGAAAAAUUAUCUUUUAUUCCAGAUGGUAUAAUCAUUUACCUAGACACCCAGGAGAGUUAGCGAAAACAUCACUGGUCCUUAUAGGUAAAUUUUUUAAUGUUGCUAUACAGUAAUUACCAAAGGACCAUUGUUUCCCUACCUAAUUGCAAAAACCAGUCACAACAUGUGAUGGGAAACAAGACACCCAUCUUUGGGGUAUCAUAUAGAUGCUGAGUGUUGUCGCUUGAGGUUCCAAAAAAUUCUUAUUGUUCUAGCAGCCUCACAGAGUCUCCUGUGAAAAGAGUUUCUGUUUCUAGGCCCUUUUCUCUAACCGCAAAUGUUUCGACCCAGCUCCAAGGUCAAGGUGAGAAGACAUUUUGCUUCAUAUAUCUCCAAAAGCAAGCUAAAAAAAAAAAAAAAAGAGCAAUGUAGAGAUGCUUCCCUGCCUCCUUCGUAGAAAUACAUUUUCCUUCUCACUCACAAAACAUUGUUAGCUCCUUAAAACAUUUUUAUUGCCAGUGCAAACCCUGGCUCUACACAUAUCUCCCACUUGGGGUGGUUUUCUUGGACAAAGGGAUGGCCUGUCCUUAAGAAGUAUUUAAGUCUCUACCUCCCACCAGAUAACAAUGUUUGCAGUUUUUAAUAAAAGAUUGUUUUCAAUUUCUGUCCACCAGGUUCGCAAAAUUCUGAAGUACCUGCAUGCCCUGAUAUUGAUGGAGGGUCUUCUUUGAAGUGCAAGGCCCCAGUUGUCUGCACUUUCCUGGUUUGAAACUUGUUUAAGCUGUGAUCUGACGGGAAAGCAGAAGUUCCCCUAGGAGGGGUGUAGGAGGGGAUGGAGAGUGUUCCUGGCAGAGAAGACAGUGUGGUGGGGUAAAGCAGGUAUUAGGAGAGAGAGAUCACUAGGAGGUGAGUAUAGCUGAAGCACGGAGACUGGGAUGGAGAUGCAGGAGGGUGGCUGCUGAAUGAAAGCGACAAGGGUAUAGAUUAAAAAUAUAAAUAGUAGGUCUAGACCACAAAGUUUAAGAAAACACUAAAUUGUCACUUCCCUUCAUCAUACUUGUUUCUUAUACCGUGUAAGUUGUUGGUUCACAGGAAGAGGUCAGUGGGAAAAUGCUCUUUUUCUGUCCAGAUUCUAAUCUGAAUGAGACCCGUUUUGUUUCUGUUAUUCUCCCAAAAGUUAACAUAGGUAAUGACAGCUAUCGGGAGACCAAGAAAAAUCCCAUCCACUGCAAACCCCAUUCUUCAUAUCCUAGAAUUCACAGCUCCUGCCAUUAUACUAAAUCCAGAAAAGUGACCAUGGUCAGAAACUUCGGCGUAAGUAUUAGUGACUUCUCAACCUUCCCAUGGGGAAUUUGGCGGGGUUUCCCCUACAGAAUACAAACUUUUCACUGCAAGCGUUCGUCCUCACAGACACCUAUCAACUAUGGGCCAAUGAUAGAAUCAAAAUGCCCAGGUUCCAAGUUGGCAAUAUGCACCAAGACCUUUAAUAUAUUUAUCAAUUAUGUUAAAUAGAAAUUUUAACCUAAGGCUAUUAAUUACAGCAAUAUAUAAACAUGUUUUAAAAGGAAAUGAUUUAAAUGUCAGCCAGCAGGCAGGUUUUUAAAAAAUCUAUCUUUCUGAUGCAGCCCCCCCCAAAAAAACUAAAAAUCUUGUUUUUGAAUAAUAUUUAACAAUAUGGAGUAAUUCUCAAAAUAUAUCAUGUGAAAACCUGAUUAUCAAACGGUAUACUAAUGACAAUUUUCAUUUUUUCAUAUCUGCACUAUGAAGAUAUAAAACUUGGAAGGCAAGACUCUAAAAUAUUAACAUGUGUUUUCUCUGAAAGAUAGGGCUUUGGGUGGUUUGCUUUUCUUGUCGUCCAUUCUGUUUUUUUUUUUUUCCCCGAGUGUUUAAAAAAAUGUAAUAUUGUUACAGUAAGAAAAAAAAAAACUAAAAAAAAAAAUUCAGAAGAGCCUGUGUUUUACAUGGCAAAGUGGAUCCUGACUGGGUGAGCAUCUGAAUCACACAGCAGUCUUUGUGCAAAUAAACAUGGUCUGAUUUCUCUGAGUGUCCCAGAAAAAUGAAAUGUUUCUGCGAGAUUUAUCUGUCCAUGUCUUUGCCUGAGCAAGGAAACACAAACACAAAUACACAUGUUUUUUCUGUUGUGCUGCCCUAGAAUAUUUGGGAGUUUGGCUCCAGGUCCAGAAUUCCAGUUGCCUCCUCCAAAACUGGGAGCCUCUUGCGUCUGUGAAACGCAAGCUGCAGCUCCCAAGGGAGAAGACACUCCUCAGCUUCCUGCCUCGUCGCAAAGAAAACCGCCCUGUGUGCACAGGCCUCCCCACUAGGGUAGAAAAUGAAAACCGCUUGGAAAAAGAGCAGAAUGCUUGCAAUAGUUUGUUUGGUGUCUUAGAAAAUAAAAUUCGUCUUUCUUCACCAGA